rnacentral:rRNA from 1 species
UACGGGGGGGGCAAGCGUUGUUCGGAAUUACUGGGCGUAAAGGGCUCGUAGGUGGCCAACUAAGUCAGACGUGAAAUCCCUCGGCUUAACCGGGGAACUGCGUCUGAUACUGGAUGGCUUGAGUUUGGGAGAGGGACGCGGAAUUCCAGGUGUAGCGGUGAAAUGCGUAGAUAUCUGGAGGAACACCGGUGGCGAAGGCGGCGUCCUGGACCAACACUGACACUAAUGAGCGAAAGCCAGGGGAGCAAACGGG